rnacentral:tRNA from 1 species
GCUGGGCUGGCUCAGUCAGUAGAGCACGAGACUCUAAUCUCAGGGUCGUGAGUUCAAGACCCAUGUUGGGCA